UUUGAAGCCGGCGAUGGCACCCAAAAAACGCAAAAGUACAGAUGCCAGCACAAGAAGAGAUCGAGAUGAUGAUAGUGGUGAAAGUCCUCCAAAGGUGGGCGCGGCAAAGAGGACAGCUGAUUCUAGUGAGCGGUGGAAAGGGAUGAAAACAUAACUUUCAAGAUGUUACAAUAUUUUGUGUGUUAAUCUACUAAAUUAAAUGUUUUUUUAAUGUAAGAUGCUUCCUAAAUGCAUUUACAGUACAGAUGAGUGGGUUGUAGUAUUGUGUAAUAAUUCCAUGUCCAUGUUCUUUGAAAAUAAAAAUAAUUUUUUUUCU